AUUAAACGCUGGCGGCAUGCCUUACACAUGCAAGUCGAACGGCAGCACGGGGGCAACCCUGGUGGCGAGUGGCGGACGGGUGAGUAAAGCAUCGGAACGUAUCCUGGAGUGGGGGAUAACGUAGCGAAAGUUACGCUAAUACCGCAUAUUCUGUGAGCAGGAAAGCAGGGGAUCGCAAGACCUUGCGCUCUGGGAGCGGCCGAUGUCGGAUUAGCUAGUUGGUGGGGUAAAGGCCUACCAAGGCGACGAUCCGUAGCGGGUCUGAGAGGAUGAUCCGCCACACUGGGACUGAGACACGGCCCAGACUCCUACGGGAGGCAGCAGUGGGAGUUUUGGACAAUGGGCGAAAGCCUGAUCCAGCCAUUCCGCGUGCAGGAUGAAGGCCCUCGGGUUGUAACUGCUUUUGUACAGAACGAAAAAGCUACUUUCUAAUACAGAGAGUCCAUGACGGUACUGUAAG
rnacentral:rRNA from 1 species